rnacentral:RNase_P_RNA from 1 species
GAUUCUUGUGGGACGAGAAUGAUGGGGGAGGAAAGUCCGAACACCCCCGUCCUUGCAUGUCGCAAGAUGGGAAAGUGAUAACGGUUAACGGCCGCCUCUCGGAUGAUGUUUAAAAGUUUAAAUAUUUAAAUAUCACUUCGGGCGGGACAGUGUCACAGAAACAAUACCGCCAAACUGGCGCUUCGCACCGAGAUUUAAAUUUUUAAAGAUUUAAACUUUGGCGCAGAGCGCCGGCGGCAAGGGUGAAAAGCGGUGAGGUAAGAGCUCACAGUUCCGAUAGGAAACUAUCGGGAGUGAAAAACACCUAUCUGGUGCAAGAAAUCGCAAAAUUUUUUUUGCCGAUUCCGCUUAAGUCGGCAGGCGACUGUCGAACAAGACAAAUGAUCGUCAUCUCGAUUUUUUCGGGAGACAGAAUUCGGCUUAUCGAUGGGAGAUGCGC